CCUACGGGAGGCAGCAGUGAGGAAUAUUGGUCAAUGGACGCAAGUCUGAACCAGCCAUGCCGCGUGCAGGAUGAAGGCUCUAUGAGUUGUAAACUGCUUUUGUACGAGGGUAAUAUCAGAUACGUGUAUCUGCUCGAACGUAUCGUACGAAUAAGGCUCGGCUAAAUCCGUUCCAGCAGCCGCGGUAAUACGGAGGAUCCAAGCGUUAUCCGGAUUUUUUGGGUUUAAAGGGGGCGUAGGCGGUUUUAUAAGUUAGAGGUGAAAAUUCGGGGCUCAACUCCGGACGUGCCGCUAAUACUGUAUGACUAGAGAAGAGAUGCGGUAGGCGGAAUGUAUGGUGUAGCGGUGAAAUGCGUAGAGAUCAUACAGAACACCGAGUGCGAAGGCAGCUUACCAAACUAUAACUGACGCUGAGGCACGAAAGCGUGGGGAGCAAACAGAAUUAGAUACCCGGGUAGUC
rnacentral:rRNA from 1 species